GUGCCCACCAGUCCUCAGGGUACCAACAGAUGCUGCAACCCCUACACCGAUGAAGGUCAAACUUCUCCUUUCCAAGACAAAUGCAUUCAACCUGAAAACAUGGGAGUUUCCAAAUUUUAAUUUGUCUCUUAGAAGUAAACAUGACUAUAUACUCUUUACUUUUUAAUGGUCUGUCUCUUGAAGACAGGAGACCCUGUCAUCCUCUGCUCCCUCACCAUGGGCCACUUCUUUUAGGAAGGAGGGUGUCCUGAGAGCUGUGAAAAAAUUCAGCUGGACAAGUCAGCUUCCCUGCUCUCUGUGUGUUGGUUUGCUUCACUUUUCAGCAUCGAUUUCUCUGUCAACAAAAUAAGGAGCACAGGGCUAAAAAUAGCUCAGUGUUUAAAGUGCCUACAUCUUAAACAGAGGGAGGACCUGGGUUCUGAUUCCCACAACCCAUCUGUAGCUGCAGCCUUGGAGAGCGGUGCAGGAGAUCCUUAGAGUCAGCUGGCUGGAGAGAUUCGCCAUCUCAGUAAGGUCUGGGAUUUGUUGAAAGACCCGACCUCAGGGAAUAAGGUAGAGGAGCCACUGAGGAUGAUGCUCAGAGUAAACCCUGGGCAUCCACAUCUGCACGUAUGUAUGUGCACUGCACACGCAUCCACACAUAUGUGUAUGAGCACACACACAAGGGAGGGGAGAGGAGGGAGAGGGAGAGAGG
rnacentral:lncRNA from 1 species